rnacentral:rRNA from 1 species
GACGAACCGUGCAAACGUUGUUCGGAAUCACUGGGCUUAAAGGGCGCGUAGGCGGAUGCAUCAGUCAGGGGUGAAAUCCCACGGCUCAACCGUGGAAGUGCCUUUGAGACGGUGUGUCUAGAGGGAGGUAGGGGCGUGCGGAACUUCCGGUGGAGCGGUGAAAUGCGUAGAUAUCGGAAGGAACACCGGUGGCGAAAGCGGCGCGCUGGACCUCUUCUGACGCUGAGGCGCGAAAGCCAGGGGAGCAAACGGG